AGUACCGUGAGGGAAAGGUGAAAAGCACUUUGAAGAGAGAGUUCAAUAGACCGUGAAACCGUUGGGAGGGAAGCUCAGGGUGUCGAGGUUGUCGUGCACUGUUCGAGUUCAGCUGGUGGUAACAGUUUUCUGUUGCUGCUGGUGCAUUCUCUUAUGGUGUUUGACCGUCAGUUGGGAAGAGACGGAGGUCUGUACCGUCAGCAGCCGGGAGGUACGCCCUGAGUUUCCGUCAGGUGCUCGGGGUGACGUACAGCCGUCCUGUUGUGGUCUCUGUCGUCUUUCAGGUGCGUUGGAUGUCUGUUCGUCCAGAAAUGGAAGGUGCAGUCUCCCGUAGUGGGGGAUCGGGCCAUUCACAAGGUUGCUCUGCGUUGUUUAGCCGUGUUCCGUUCUCUCUCCGUUCUGUCUCUGGCAGUCGGGGCAGAGUGCGGCACGUCUUGCAAUCGCCAGUGUCCCUUGAGUUUGUGUCCUGGAAUCUGUGCCGAGGUGACUGGCGAAGAGUCGUUACCCUGUGCCCCGUCUUGAAACACGGACCAAGGAGUGCAAGAGAUGCGCAAGUCGGAAGGGUUGUGUUGGGGCUCUUCCUUCGGGAAUUGUCCUGCCUGAGAGACCCAUGUGUUUGGAACGGGCGAAGUGAGAGCAAUUCAUGGGUGCGAGAGCCAUGGGGAGACCCGUGGCGCAUCGCUGGCCGAGCCAAGGUCACGCUGUGACCGGUUUCGAGUACGAGCGUAUCUGUUGCGACCCGAAAGAUGGUGAACUAUGCCUGAGGAGGGUGAAGCCAGAGGAAACUCUGGUGGAGGCCCGUAGCGGUUCUGACGUGCAAAUCGAUCGUCGCACUUGGGUAUAGGGCGAAAGACUA
rnacentral:rRNA from 1 species